CAAUAGCGUAUAUUUAAGUUGCUGCAGUUAAAAAGCUCGUAGUUGGAUUUCGGGUGGGAAUGGCCGGUCCGCCGUUUCGGUGUGCACUUGCUACGCCCACCUUGCUGCCGGGGACGUGCUCUUGAGUUCACGCUCGGGACACGGAGUCGGCGAGGUUCCUUUGAGUAAAUUAGAGUGUUCAAAGCAGGCCUACGCUCUGAAUACAUUAGCAUGGAAUAACACGAUAGGACUCUGGCCUAUCUUGUUGGUCUGUAGGACCGGAGUAAUGAUUAAGAGGGACAGUCGGGGGCAUUCGUAUUUCAUUGUCAGAGGUGAAAUUCUUGGAUUUAUGAAAGACGAACUACUGCGAAAGCAUUUGCCAAGGAUGUUUUCAUUAA
rnacentral:rRNA from 1 species